rnacentral:lncRNA from 1 species
GGUCCCUUCAUCCUGCAUCUUCUCCUCUCACUGGGGAGGGACACCAGGGCAGGGGAGGUGCACGCGUCACCCCAAGGAGAGGCAGAUGACACACCAGGUCACACCCCACGAGGGGGGUCCUCGCAGAGCCAAGCACGUGCGUGUGUGCCCGUUGGCCUCGCUACAAAGCUGGGCAGUUGUGACAGAGGCCGUAGGGCCCACGAAGCCCGAGACAUCGCCUCUCUGUGGACGCUUUCAGGAAAACCGGGCACAGCUGUGAGGUUCCUGUGGCCUAGAGACGAGAGCCCAGUCACUGGGCGUGGAGGACUCCCCGCCUCCAGGCCUGUGCUGGACCCCAGGACCCCACAUCUUCCCACCCCAUCCUGAUCCACUGCCCAGCGGAGAAGGGAGCAUCCUGGACGCAGAGGAGGGAAAGCCCUCGAAGGACGCAGUCUUCCUGGGCGGUCAGGCGGGGUUUCUGCUCCACGAACCACAGGCCUGGAGCCAACCACAGGCCAGGGGACCUGAAAGCAUCUUCUUGGAGCUCAGCCACUGAGACAGGCACUGACCAGGCUGGGGGACAGGGCUGGAAGGGCAGGAAGGCUCAGAGACCGUGGCUCCCUCUGGUUACAGGUGCCUCUGUCCAUUGCACAAGUGGACACAAUCGACGCCUGGGGCUCACAGGACCCCCUCCUAUGGCCCCUGCGGUGGGAAGAUCCUAGCUCGAGCCCGAGGCUCCCGCCAGCUCAAAUGGCCAGGAGGCACCAGGCUGGAAGGCACAGGCCCGGAAGUCCCUGCUCAUGUUCCAUCUUCUCACACGGAAACCAGAAGACCAAGGCUGCCCAGGCAGGAAAGCUGACACCAUGAGCUCUGCAGCCACACUGCAGGACCGCGGGCACCACUGCCGUUUCUCAAGCCUCUUCUUCAGGGGCUGCCCCACUUCGCUGGUCCUGCCCCACUUCGCUGGUCCUGCCCGUGCCUGGACCAUCCACACUGUCGCCCUUCAGCUUGGCCGGACCGGCCAGAACCGGUGCUGCUGCUGCUUGAGGUCCGGGAAACAAACACAAACCACAACACUGCAGGCUCAGAACCUCCUGAGGCCACAUCACUGGGGGAGAAGAGCCAGUCUGAGGGCCAGCAGCCUGUGCUGAGCGUUUUCAUUAUUGCCGAACAUAAAAAGCUAAAGGCAAGGAGACCAACGCAUUUCCCAAAGUGUCUGUAUUUUAAGCCGUGUUUUCUUUGUUAAAUGUGUAAAAACAUGGAGACGAGACAGGUGGAAUUCUGCAUUCAUGUGUCCGCGCAGAUGUGUGUGUGAGGUGGCACAGCCGUGUUCACGCGUGUGGCAACACUGGCAUUUACACAGGGGGAAACGCAGGCUGUGAUCAGCCCUCCCCCACCACACACACAGUGCAUCAAACCCAGAGGCCCCAGGACCACCGCCGUGGUAAGAGAAAUGGCACUUCCGGUCCCUCGGGCCCACCUGACCUUUGAACGGGCUUCAGGGGCUGGUAGGUGGUCCCUCCCUCUGGGCCAGGCCCGUGUCCACCACGUGGCCGUGAUGGUGAUGACCCUUCACCGACGCCAGCAGGUGGGCAGCCCCCUCGUGGCUCGGAGCCGCAGGCUGGGCACCCCUGGCUUCGCAUUCAGGAGAUUCUGGACACUCCAAAGCCGCCCACGGACUGGCACGGAGUCGCUGGGAGAGGGUGACUGCCAGACACACAGUCACGGCCUCUCAGACACGCAGGAGCAUCCGUGCUGGGGGGUGGGGGGGGUGGUCGACCAGAUGCCCAGCUGACCCCCCAGCCCUACCUCCAGUUUCCAGUGCUCCCUGAAAAUUCAGGCCCUGCACAUCCACGGUGGGGCUUUCUGACCCUCAGCCAAGGGGUGAACCAGACGGAAGACAGGCGCAUCUCAAGUUUCGUAAACACUCAAUGUCGAGACCCUUCUGAGAUGCCGAUGACAACGCCGUGCUUGGAAUCUUGGAAUUAUCCUCUACCGAAAUGCCACCGUUUGUGUGGUGCCACCCUCCUCUCCUGCCACGUGACCCCUGCACCCAGAGGCGGCAUGGGCGGGCCCCCACCCAGCGUGGCCAAUGUCUGGGCCGCACUGGGCUUAGAUGAGCUGCUGUCCCCUCCACAUCACCUCCCGCUCCCGCCGGGGUGGGAGGAGGAGACGUGCGUCAUUACUCGGCAGCAGUGCCCCUGGGUCAUGAUGGCAUCUGUUCGUUCGCCUCAGAGCAGUGGAGAGGCCACCGGUUUGGUGACCAGGACAGCCCGAAACAGUGUGUGAGCUGCCAGCACCGAGCAGGACACACACCCUGGCACUGUGGCCGUGCCCUCACAGAGGCCUCCCGCACGGCUGGUGACAAGUCCUCACACCCCUGCAAUUAUCCCUUCACACCCCGAUUUCCAUGGGAACGAAGGGGUGCCCUUGGGAGGCCGCCUGUCACGCCGUAGGCAGCAUUUGCCACACAGUCUGGGGAGCAAUGGGAACAGACUUCAAAAGGGACGCGGAGGGGCGAGAGUCAGACGAGAGCUGUCGGGGGGUCUGGGGGGAGUUCCGUGAGCCCUGCUGAACCUGCCCCAUGAAACGUGCUCACGCACGUGCUCACAGACACACAAUCACACGCACCCACAUGCACAUGGGCACAACGCACACAAGGCCACACAGGCGGCUGGGU